AGUGAACGCUGGCGGUAGGCCUAACACAUGCCAGUCGAACGGCAGCACAGUAAGAGCUUGCUCUUACGGGUGGCGAGUGGCGGACGGGUGAGGAAUACAUCGGAAUCUACUUUUUCGUGGGGGAUAACGUAGGGAAACUUACGCUACUACCGCAUACGACCUACGGGUGAAAGCAGUGGAUCUUCGGACCUUUCGCGAUUGAAUGAGCCGAUGUCGGAUUAGCUAGUUGGCGGGGUAAAGGCCCACCAAGGCGACGAUCCGUAGCUGGUCUGAGAGGAUGAUCAGCCACACUGGAACUGAGACACGGUCCAGACUCCUACGGGGGGCAGCAGUGGGGAAUAUUGGACAAUGGGCGCAAGCCUGAUCCAGCCAUGCCGCGUGGGUGAAGAAGGCCUUCGGGUUGUAAAGCCCUUUUGUUGGGAAAGAAAAGCAGCAGGUUAAUACCCCGCUGUUCUGACGGUACCCAAAGAAUAAGCACCGGCUAACUUCGUG
rnacentral:rRNA from 1 species